UUAUCUCAAAGACCGUUUCCACCAAUCAGGGGCAACUGAAACUAGAGGAUAAAAUACUUAGCUCUGGAGAAUUAACGAGAAUGACAGGCGAAAAGCUUAUUUCCGCCACGUUCCUAACAGUUUUCUUGAGGAUACGCCCUUUUCCAUCGUCUCCUGUUUGGGAUCAUGAAUAAACGAGCCCCGUCUUACGGAAGGAAGAGAGCAUCUGC